rnacentral:hammerhead_ribozyme from 1 species
ACCCAGCUGACGAGUCUCAGAAAGGACGAAGCGCGCAUCUUGGAU